UACAGAGGGUGCAAGCGUUAAUCGGAAUUACUGGGCGUAAAGCGUGCGUAGACGGUUAUUUAAGUCAGGUGUGAAAGCCCCGGGCUCAACCUGGGAAUUGCAUUUGAGACUGAAUAGCUAGGGUGCGGAAGAGGGAAGCGGAAUUUCCGGUGUAGCGGUGAAAUGCGUAGAUAUCGGAAGGAACACCAGUGGCGAAAGCGGCUCCUGGUCCAGCACCGACGUCAGGCACGAAAGCGUGGGGAGCAAACAGGG
rnacentral:rRNA from 1 species